AUGGCUCUCACGCCGCACCCGCCACUCCAGCUCCGCGCGCGCCCCCCCGUGGUCGCCGUGGCCCACCAGCACCGUGCGCUCCUCUUACCGCGCCGCACUCGCUCCAUCCGUUGCUGCGCCGGCGCCGACGUGGGUAAGGUGUGGGCGAGGCGGGCGUACCCGUACGACGAGAUUGAGCCGAGGUGGCAGGCGCUCUGGGAGGAGCACCCCGGACGCCUCCAGGCCCAAGGGCUACAUCCUCGGCAUGUUCUCUUACCCAAGCCACUUCCAAGCGUCCCAGCUGCCAAGUCCCACGCGUCCACUUAUGUGCUUGGAUGUUGGAACAAUUGGCUACAUCGAUCCGAUGUGUACAGCUCCGGUAUCGUCCUUCUGGAGUUGCUCAAAGGGAUGAAGACCGUCGACAACGAUUGCAAUUUGCACCAGUUGAUAAUGUGCACGGACAUGGGGUAG
rnacentral:rRNA from 1 species